rnacentral:rRNA from 1 species
AACGAACGCUGGCGGCAGGCCUAACACAUGCAAGUCGAACGCUCCGCAAGGGGAGUGGCGCACGGGUGAGUAACACGUGGGAACCUACCUUCUGGUACGGAACAACCAAGGGAAACUUUGGCUAAGACCGUAUACGACCUCCGGGUGAAAGAUUGAUCGCCGGAAGAGGGGCCCGCAUCCGAUUAGGUAGUUGGUGAGGUAACGGCUCACCAAGCCUUCGAUCGGUAGCUGGUCUGAGAGGAUGACCAGCCACACUGGGACUGAGACACGGCCCAGACUCCUACGGGAGGCAGCAGUGGGGAAUAUUGGACAAUGGGCGCAAGCCUGAUCCAGCCAUGCCGCGUGAGUGAUGAAGGCCUUCGGUUG